AUCUAUCUGACGUGUCCCAAAUAGGACGAAAUGCGCGUCCUGAAU
rfam:Schistosoma margrebowiei strain Zambia genome assembly, scaffold: SMRZ_scaffold0000177